UAAAAGAUGGGGAACCGCGGUGUCACUCAGAACAGCUGCGGUCCUCUGCUUACCAGCCCAUCUGAGAAGAUGAAACUCACCUGCAUCGUCCUUCUUCUUCUUGGAGCUCUGGUCUCCCUGAGCUUCUCUCAGAACAGCAAACUACCAGAUAAAUGCUGCAAACAAUACUACGAAAGGCCAAUUCCAGCAGCAGCAGUGACAUCCUGUGAAGUAUCAGAUAACAGAUGCGGCGGCUUGGAUGCUGUAAUCAUAACCACAAGAAAAGGACGGAGCGCAUGCAUUAACCCAGGGAAGAAAGCAAAUGAGAAAAUAAUGAAGAAAUGUUCAUCACUGGAAGAUAAGAAGGAUGCUUAAAUGAAACACACACAUGUACAGUGAUAUAAAUGGUUCUAUAUGCUUUCAUUUGUUUGUCAGUUUCUAAUGAUGCAAAAUCGAUAAAUAGAUAAUAAGAAGUAUUAU